CUUCAACGGAGAGUUUGAUCCUGGCUCAGGAUGAACGCUGGCGGCGUGCUUAACACAUGCAAGUCGAACGAUGACCCGGUGCUUGCACCGGUGAUUAGU
rnacentral:rRNA from 1 species